rnacentral:rRNA from 1 species
CCUACGGGUGGCAGCAGUGAGGAAUAUUGGUCAAUGGGCGCGAGCCUGAACCAGCCAAGUAGCGUGAAGGAUGACUGCCCUACGGGUUGUAAACUUCUUUUAUAAAGGAAUAAAGUGAGGCACGUGUGCCUUUUUGUAUGUACUUUAUGAAUAAGGAUCGGCUAACUCCGUGCCAGCAGCCGCGGUAAUACGGAGGAUCCGAGCGUUAUCCGGAUUUAUUGGGUUUAAAGGGAGCGUAGAUGGGUUGUUAAGUCAGUUGUGAAAGUUUGCGGCUCAACCGUAAAAUUGCAAUUGAUACUGGCAGUCUUGAGUACAGUUGAGGUAGGCGGAAUUCGUGGUGUAGCGGUGACAUGCUUAGAUAUCACGAAGAACUCCGAUUGCGAAGGCAGCUCACGAAUCCGCGAUUGACGCUGAUGCACGAAAGCGUGGGUAUCAAACAGGAUUAGAUACCCCUGUAGUC